UGCAACACUAAAGAGUAAAAGAUGUAGUUAACACGGCAAUGAACUGAUUUGAUAUAAGUUUACAGAAACAAAGAAAUCUCUAGAUUCCCCGAAUAAUAGACGUCGAUUUGAAUGAGCUGUCUAAGUCAGAGUGAUUUCCACUUUACAGAGAUUUCAACCUUAGAGGGAUUUCCACUUAAGAUAGAUUUUCACCUAAAGAGAGAUUUCCACCUAAAGAGAGAUCGCCACUAAAGAGAGAUUUCCACCUAAAGAGAGAUUUCCACCAAAGAGAGAUCGCCACUAAAGAGAGAUUUCCACCUUAGAGAAAUUUGCAUAUUCUCAUACGACAUUUCAUCAAAAAACAUGUAACAGCCACGUGCGCAUCCUAAUGACUACAGGAAAACUUUGGAAGCUCCAGUAUUUUAAACAUGACGAUGUUCCAAUGGGAAUAUGGCUGAUGAUGUGUACCUUGAAAAAAGUUAUGAAAUUAAACCAAAAGCAAAAACCGAACAGAAGAAGCGAUAAUAACAGCUUUUUACAGUAGAUGUAUGUGAAAUUUUCAAGAUCUUUCAAAGUUCUAUACGCCAAGAAGCAGAAAAGAGUUGCCAAAAUAGAUUUUAAUAAUUUAAGCAUAAUUCCGGUGCA